CUCAACAGUAGCAAAUUGCAGUUCGAUUUCGGCUCGAAAAGAGGAGAAACUCUCCCUGUUGAGU
rnacentral:tRNA from 1 species